rnacentral:rRNA from 1 species
GAUGAACGCUAGCGGCAGGCCUAACACAUGCAAGUCGAGGGGCAUCGCGGUGCAGCAAUGCACUGGCGGCGACCGGCGUACGGGUGCGUAACGCGUAUGCAACCUGCCCCGCACCGGGGAUAGCCCGCCGAAAGGCGGAUUAAUACCCCAUGGCCCCGGGGGCCCGCAUGGGCAUCCGGGUAAAGCCUUGGCGGUGCGGGAUGGGCAUGCGUGCCAUUAGCUGGCUGGUGGGGUAACGGCCCACCAGGGCAACGAUGGCUAGGGGGUCUGAGAGGAUGGUCCCCCCACACUGGUACUGAGACACGGACCAGACUCCUACGGGAGGCAGCAGUGAGGAAUAUUGGUCAAUGGGCGGAAGCCUGAACCAGCCAUGCCGCGUGCGGGAUGAAGGCCCUACGGGUUGUAAACCGCUUUUCCCCGGGAAGAAUAACCCCGAUGAGUCGGGGGAUGCCGGUACCGGGGGAAUAAGGAUCGGCUAACUCCGUG